rnacentral:snRNA from 1 species
GGAUGUGAAGGCGACCUGGCUGUGAACUGUCACCCGCUGAUGGCCAGGGUUGACUCGCCAGGGCAUCCCCCUCCCUCACUGCUCCAUCGCCUCCCUCCCAAAGCUGUACACUCAGUCGAAGAGCAAAAUCUUCCCCAAAUGAGAAGGACCAGUCUCCUGUCCAGGGCAUAUGCUC